UACGUAGGGUGCGAGCGUUAAUCGGAAUUACUGGGCGUAAAGCGUGCGUAGGCGGCUAUGUAAGACAGAUGUGAAAUCCCUGGGCUCAACCUAGGAACUGCAUUUGUGACUGCAUUGCUAGAGUGUGGUAGAGGGAGAUGGAAUUCCGCAUGUAGCAGUGAAAUGCGUAGAUAUGCGGAGGAACACCAAUGGCGAAGGCAAUCUCCUGGACCUGCACUGACGCUCAUGCACGAAAGCUAGGGGAGCGAAUGGG
rnacentral:rRNA from 1 species